AACGAACGCUGGCGGCAUGCCUAACACAUGCAAGUCGAACGAGACCUUCGGGUCUAGUGGCGCACGGGUGCGUAACGCGUGGGAACCUGCCCUUAGGUUCGGAAUAACUCCCCGAAAGGGGUGCUAAUACCGGAUAAUGUCUUCGGACCAAAGAUUUAUCGCCUUUGGAUGGGCCCGCGUUGGAUUAGCUAGUUGGUAGGGUAAAAGCCUACCAAGGCGACGAUCCAUAGCUGGUCUGAGAGGAUGAUCAGCCACACUGGGACUGAGACACGGCCCAGACUCCUACGGGAAGCAGCAGUGGGGAAUAUUGGGGGAUGGGCGAAAGCCUGAUACAGCAAUGCCGCGUGAGUGAUGAAGGCCUUAGGGUUGUAAAGCUCUUUUACCCGGGAUGAUAAUGACAGUACCGGGAGAAUAAGCUCCGGCUAACUCCGUG
rnacentral:rRNA from 1 species